rnacentral:rRNA from 1 species
AGAGUUUGAUCCUGGCUCAGGACGAACGCUGGCGGCGUGCUUAACACAUGCAAGUCGAACGGAAAGGCCCUGCUUUUGUGGGGUGCUCGAGUGGCGAACGGGUGAGUAACACGUGAGUAACCUGCCCUUGACUUUGGGAUAACUUCAGGAAACUGGGGCUAAUACCGGAUAGGAGCUCCUGCUGCAUGGUGGGGGUUGGAAAGUUUCGGCGGUUGGGGAUGGACUCGCGGCUUAUCAGCUUGUUGGUGGGGUAGUGGCUUACCAAGGCUUUGACGGGUAGCCGGCCUGAGAGGGUGACCGGCCACAUUGGGACUGAGAUACGGCCCAGACUCCUACGGGAGGCAGCAGUGGGGAAUAUUGCACAAUGGGCGGAAGCCUGAUGCAGCAACGCCGCGUGCGGGAUGACGGCCUUCGGGUUGUAAACCGCUUUCGCCUGUGACGAAGCGUGAGUGACGGUAAUGGGUAAAGAAGCACCGGCUAACUACGUGCCAGCAGCCGCGGUGAUACGUAGGGUGCGAGCGUUGUCCGGAUUUAUUGGGCGUAAAGGGCUCGUAGGUGGUUGAUCGCGUCGGAAGUGUAAUCUUGGGGCUUAACCCUGAGCGUGCUUUCGAUACGGGUUGACUUGAGGAAGGUAGGGGAGAAUGGAAUUCCUGGUGGAGCGGUGGAAUGCGCAGAUAUCAGGAGGAACACCAGUGGCGAAGGCGGUUCUCUGGGCCUUUCCUGACGCUGAGGAGCGAAAGCGUGGGGAGCGAACAGGAUUAGAUACCCUGGUAGUC